ACAAACUUGGUCAUUUAGAGGAAGUAAAAGUCGUAACAAGGUUUCCGUAGGUGAACCUGCGGAAGGAUCAUUACACAUUUUGGCCGUAACAAGCCUUACCCCUUCUCUACACGUACCUUCACAUUCUCCUUCGGCGGGGUAACGCCCGCCGUCGGAACCAUCCAAACCCUUUUUUUUGCAUCUAGCAUCCUACCCGUUCUGAUACAAAAUUCAAUCGUUACAACUUUCAACAAUGGAUCUCUUGGCUCUGGCAUCGAUGAAGAACGCAGC
rnacentral:misc_RNA from 1 species